ACAUACGACCACAGACUGCAGAGAACAGGGCUUCCCGUCCGCUCAGCCAUACUUAAGCUGCAGGUCGGACGGUUAGUAGUUGGGUGGGUGACCACCAGCGAAUCCCGUCUGUUGUAUGUU
rnacentral:rRNA from 1 species